ACAGCAGUCGCCGCGGGAAUACGAAGGGGGCUAGCGUUGUUCGGAAUUACUGGGCGUAAAGCGCACGUAGGCGGGUAUUUAAGUCAGGGGUGAAAUCCCGCAGCUCAACUGCGGAACUGCCUUUGAUACUGGGUAUCUUGAGUAUGGAAGAGGUUAGUGGAAUUGCGAGUGUAGAGGUGAAAUUCGUAGAUAUUCGCAGGAACACCAGUGGCGAAGGCGGCUAACUGGUCCAUAACUGACGCUGAGGUGCGAAAGCGUGGGGAGCAAACAGGAUUAGAUACCCCUGUAGUCCCUGUCUCUUAUAU
rnacentral:rRNA from 1 species